rnacentral:rRNA from 1 species
AUUGAACGCUGGCGGCAUGCCUUACACAUGCAAGUCGAACGGCAGCACGGACUUCGGUCUGGUGGCGAGUGGCGAACGGGUGAGUAAUGUAUCGGAACGUACCUUUCAGUGGGGGAUAACGUAGCGAAAGUUACGCUAAUACCGCAUAUUCUGUGAGCAGGAAAGCAGGGGAUCGAAAGACCUUGCGCUGAUUGAGCGGCCGAUAUCAGAUUAGCUAGUUGGUGGGGUAAAGGCCGACCAAGGCGACGAUCUGUAGCGGGUCUGAGAGGAUGAUCCGCCACACUGGAACUGAGACACGGUCCAGACUCCUACGGGAGGCAGCAGUGGGGAAUUUUGGACAAUGGGGGCAACCCUGAUCCAGCCAUGCCGCGUGAGUGAAGAAGGCCUUCGGGUUGUAAAGCUCUUUCGGCCGGGAAGAAAUCGCAUAGGCUAAUACCCUGUGUGGAUGACGGUACCGGAAUAAGAAGCACCGGCUAACUACGUG